UCGUGUGUGAUUUUCAUAUUAUUUGGUCUUUUAUUUCCUUUAUUUUAUUUGAUCCUGUUUUUUAGACUCAGGUCUAAGAUGUAACUCAUUUAUUGUGUCUAAACCUCCAUGUUUGUGUCCAUUUCUGUUGGUUCUGUUCCUUUAAACGGGUCAGUAUUGUUUGUUUUUUUUCUGUCUUGGUUCUGUUCGGUGACUCGAGUUUAAAUGCAAAAGCAUCUUGUUUAUGAUGCGUUCAGGGGCUGUCGGCCGUGAUGCUACUUAUGUAAGCUUCAUGCAUGUUUCAGAAGUACAGUCCAUAGGAGAGUGGGAGUGGCCUGAAGCUGACAUGUGAUAAAUAAAUACAAGGCCCUGAUUGGUCCAAGAGUUAAACCCAGAUGUAUGUACAUAUUUACACCUAGAAAAAGACGGUUCUGGUCUGACCUGGUCAGACCUGGUCUGAUGUGGUCUGAUCUGGUCCGACCUGGUCUAAACCAGUGCUACAUUGUGCAGUUUAACGUCCUCACCAUGAAACCUGAUAAAAACACUGUAAACAACAAAAACAUGACGAGAUGAGACUGAGACCGAAGGGCCAACGCCGAAUCAGACGCCAAACGGCGUGAAAUGGCGCAAAACGGCGCUACUGCGACGUCCGUCAAAACACGUGAAAAACACACGCGACUGAAACAUCAGGCCUGAGGUUCAUGAUUUAAACAUGAAUAACGUGAGUAGAAACAUGGAUAAGGCCUGUUAGACAUGAUUUAAAUAUGAGAACAGGCCUCGGAGGAAACGGACGCAGGCACAAACUGAAACUGAAGCAGAGACAGAAACAGACGGGUCCUGGGGGUCUAGGACAGGUCCUGGGGGUCUAGGAUUAGUCCAGGGUCUAGAACAGGUACAGUGGGUCUAGAACUGGUCCAGGGGGUCUAGGAUAGGUCCUGCGGGUCUAGGAUGGGUCCUGGGGGUCUAGGACGGGUCCUGGGUCUAGAAGAGGUCCUGGGGGUCUAGGAUGGGUCUUGGGUCUAGAACAGGUCCUGGGGGUCUAGGAAGGGUCCAGACCCCCUUUGUGCUCAGGUUUAAGGUUCACAUUGAUCAGAUGAUCUGAAAGUGACGGUGCCUUCAGGGUUCUACAUCUGAACCGUAAAUAACAAGGCUUCAGCUUCACCUCAAACACUAACGAUGACGAGUAAAAACAGAACCGAUGGAACCAAUGGACAGAGGAGGUUCUGAUGAUGAACUGAGCAGAAUUUAUAGGGUUCAGUCUUAAUAAA